CUUCCACACUUUCACAGGUGUGGCCACAAAAAAAAAAGAGAGAGAGAUUAUUUUAUGAUAACGGGAUAGAUUUUUUUCUUAAGCAGAGUACAAAAAUACAAGUGCUAAAGAAAAAAGAUGGGUUAAUAUGACAAUAUCAACUUGAAUACUCAUUGAUAUACAGAAUUAAAAAGAAAAGGGACAGACUAGAAGCAGAUAUGUGCACGCUAUUUAAUUGACAAACUGUUAUUAUCAUGAAAAAAGUAAUAUAAAAUUUUUACAAAUCAGCAAGAAAGAGAUAACUAUCUAUUGGCAAAAUGGGCACUUAUUUGAAAGGACCAGUCAUCAGGUAUCAGUAGAGCUGCAGGGAUAUGCUCCUUUAUACCUAGUGGGGUAUAAAUUUCUAAAAUAAUUUUCAAGAGCAACUUGUCAAUGUCCAUAAGUGUUUGAGAUAUGUCUCCAUGAAGCCCAGCACUUUCAUUUCUACUCUUAUGUUCCAGAGAAACUUCUGUUUAUCUUGUACAUAUGUACACUUAUGAAUAUGCAAAUAUGUCCACUGAACCCCUGUUUACAACAAUAAGAAAUAAGGGAAAAUCUACAUGUCUAUCUAUUCAUAGCUAAUAAAUUAGAGAAAUAAAUUAUAUUCUAUUUACACCUUGGCAUAUAGGAGAGCAGUUUAAAUGAGUGAACUAAAGGUGUAUGUAUUAUGUUGGAAUAACCUCUAAAACAUUACAUUGAUUAAACAAGCAAACUUCAAAAGGAUGCCUACAUUUAAAUAAAUUAAUUCUCUAUGUAGUUCAUGAAGAGCAUAAAAACAUCAGUAGAAAGGAUACACAGUAAGCUUCAUAAAAUAGAGGAUAGAAAGUGAAGUUAAACUGUAUGUAUGGAGUAUGGCUUUAAAAAAGAAAACUAGGAGUUCCCAUUAGGGCUUAGUAGGUUAAGGACCUAACAUAGUGACUGUGAGGAUGUGGGGUUUGAACCUGGCCUCGUUCAGUGGGUUAAGGAUCUGGCAUUGCCACAAGCACUGUAGACCAUAUAUGCAGCUUCAAUCUGGUGUUGCUAUGGCUGUGGCAUAGGUAGGCCUGCAGCUGUAUCUCCCUCUCUUCCCCUAGACUGGAAACUUCCAUAUACCACAGGUGUGGCCCUAAAAAUAAAAUAAAUAAAUAAGAAAACCAAGAAAAAAAAAUCUAAUGUUUUCACUUGCUAGACUUUGCUUCAGUCAUAUUCAGUGGUUCUGGUAACUCUGGAACAGGUUGUAUUUAGAGAGGCUGGUCCUUGAUGGGAGAAACGUCUUAACACUGGAGCUGGAAAAUGCAUCACCAGAUCAUUAGAAUAUUUCUAGUGUAUCAGAUAAGUCCAGUCACGUAUAAGUGGGCUUUAUUUCUGGGAGAAUCAGCUUAAGGGCAGGAUAUGAGCUGGGUCAGACAGACAAAGUGUAAAAUAAAAGGUUACCAAAAUCGACUUUAAGAAUAUCAAAGUCAGCCUAAUUUCUUUUGAAAACAUAGCCACAAGUAAAUAAGCAAGCAAUCAAGAAGGAAUUGAGAAGCAGACCUUGGCAAAUAUAAUUUUCUGGCAGAAACCAGGCCUGUAACCCAGGCCAGCCUUGGCUCUGUUUAGAACUCCAGCUCUAUGGGCUCAGGCCCUCUAUCCAGGUUUAUGUAGAUAACUGGGUAGAAGGGCGAAGGGGAAUUUUGGUGGGAAAUGAUUUUGGUAGGAAUCCUUCCCUACACCAUGAUCCAGACAGCCUCAAGAUGGAUUCAAGAGCAGCCACACCCCCAGCCAGGGAUGAAAUCCAUGCCACAUCUGCGAAUUAAGCCAGAGCUGCAGCAAUGCUGGAUCCCUAACCAACUGUGCUGGGCCGGGGAUUGAACCAGCAACACCACAGUGACAAACCAGAUCAUCUCUGUCAGUAUAAACCCUUGCCCUUUCAAAUAAAAAGGAAAUAUAACUCUAACAGUCUUGCUCAGGGCUCCAAGGCAAUGCCUUGCUAGGACUCUGGGACCCCUGCCCCCUAAGAUACCCCAAGAGCUUGGGGGUGCUCUAGGAUACUUUUGAGAUGAUGAGAUAGCAACCAUGGGUGGGGAUAUGAUUUAUAUUUUUGAACCAGAUACCAGAAAACAUUUCCAAACACCUUUCACUCACUACGCUUAGGCAACUAAACCUGAAACAGCUCAGGACAAUUAACAAUUCAAACUCAAAAACCAAAGAAAAGAUAGGGAGAGGAAACAUACACCUUUUAAUUGGAAUAUGUAGCAACAAUUGCGUUUUUGGUGUCAGGUCCUUGUCUUCCAUCCCAUUCCUACUGCAUCCCUAAGGAAGGUCUUUAUCAUCUCACCGUGACCACUUCUUUAGACUACCACACUUUUCUCUGGGCUCUGGUGCCCCCCUUAAUUUAGCCUGUGAACAUUUGCAGAUUAAUUGUAAUGCUCCAAAUAUGUAGUGCUCAUAUUAAAGUCAUAGUUCAGCCACA